AUGGCACCAAGGGCAAGAGGAAGAAAUUCCCUCCAGCAAACUUUCAGAUAAACUUUGAUUUGUGUAUUGUUUACAUAAGAAUUUUAAAGGGUACAUAAUGUGUAGAGUGUGGAUAGAACUUCUCUUCAUACUAUGGUUUUUUUUGUAAAAGACUGAUUAUUGUUAUGGAUUCAUUCUGUCUCAUCUAUUUUUAUAAUAGCAGCAGGGUUGUCUUUUAAAAAAAAAAAAAAAACGGCUGCCAAGCUCUGCUUCUUGGGAAGGUGAUUACAGUCAAGUAGGCCUCAAGUUACCGUCUUCGACCAUGAGGUGGGAGGAGUGUGUGGAUGGGUUUGAAGGAUAAGGAUGUGGCUGAGAUGAACAGAGUACUAGGUGUGGACACCAGGAUGAUGGCGCUGUGUGAUCAGUUCUGGAUUUGCUCGUAGGCUAUCUAGAGAUGAUAAACUCUGCAACCUCUUUCUGGGCUGGAUUUGCAUCCCACGCAAGACCUGUUUUUUGCUUCCCACCCUCCCCACAGGCUCCAUCCUACCAGCCCCGGUCUCCCUCCACAGACACACACGUGGAUAACAGUCCCUCUAGAGAAGGAAAGACAGGGGUUGAUGGUUUUCUUUUGCAUGAAGCCUGACACUGAAACAUCUGUGAUGGAGACUUUGCAGGAGCCUAGGCCUGGGAGUCUUAUCUCUUCUCACUCCAUCUCUGCCAAAGGAGAAUGGCCCAGCAGUAGUGUCACAGAGAGAAUGCAGAGAUGCAAUAGGUCCCCGUGGUCCAGCUCCACCAUGGGAGGAAGAGGGGACAAUGGAAACAGAAGCAGGAAAGGUUAAGUUCCUGAGAGAAGUGGUUGCUCUCUCUAUGCAUGUGAGUCAGAGAUUUGCUGUGUUGUGGGAUGGUUUAUCCAACCACGCACAGAAAAGAGAAAACCCUCACACGUACAUUACACAGUUCGAGAUUAACUGUAACACCGUGUGGGAAUAGAUCUAUUUCUUAAGGGCAACAAAGAAUAGUUCAGAAUUUAAUGCAAUGGAGGAUAUCAGAGGGAAUCCAAAAGAAAUUAUGUGCCACACUGGAGAAUUAGCUGCGUAAAUGUGACAGUAUGAGUGAGUAGCCGGAGGCAUGAUCUAGAACAUAAUAUAAGGCCUGUCUAGUAAAUGGGUAAGACAGAUUCCUCUUUAAAAAAAAAAAAAAAAGUGACAUUUAAAACCAGACCAUGCAAAUGACCUUGCCUAUGGUUAUUUUUUUUUUCAAGUUAAUGAAGUGCACACAGAUUCUAAAGGCCUUAAUAAAAAUCCACACAACUGUGUUUGCCUGUCAAGAUUACAGGUGGACAACCGAGCCGAGCCUUGGAUGCUACAACAGAGAUUUCGAAGUCCUUUUACAGUGCAGGGCCAAGGACACCUUAAGAAGGUUGAGCUUUUAGUGAUCAUGGACGACUUGGAUCAUCACCCCAAUCAGCACUUUAUAACAACACCAGAAACAAAAGAUGCAGGACACUCCUUGGGUGACCCAGUCUUGAAGAUGCAAAUUCACGUGCAGAAAGAGGCAGCAUGUUUAAUUUUUAUAUGUAGAUAGAUAGACUUUUUUUUUUUAACCAAGUGCCAUUAACAUUCAUCCCUCGUGUCCCUUUCCAAGCUCAGUGUUGGGGAAGGAGCUGGGAUGGAGGAUCCCAUGUCAGGCAGAACAGGUUAAAAUGUCGAAGGCCAAAGGGAAGGCCAGAGGGUCUGAGGAAGUGUUUGGAGGAUGCUGGAAAGGUUAACAGAGAGGAACAAUAGGACUCCUCAUCCUGUAGGAAAGAGAAGGUGUUUAAGUCCGCUACACGCAACGCACGUACCCAUAAGGUCAUGGGAUAUUCAGAAACCAGUUUGUGAACACAAUCACACGAGUGCGAAUCUUUUAAGAGGAAGAAGACCAUAGAGUAUAUUUGCAAAUCUGAAUUUCUAUUUAUUCCUUCAUUGAAUAUAGAAGCAAUGGUUAUCUGAUUAUUAGAGAUAUUAUUUUGGAUAUGUCACUUAUUAACUCGCUAUGGCUGGUACCCAUGAUAAAGUCUGUUAUUAGUAACAACAGAAUUCUUUUUUUAAAAAAAAAAAGAAAAAAAGAAAAGCUUAUUUUUCAUUGACUGUAUAGAUUUAUCUACUUAGUUGUGGUUUGCUAUGUUAGUGUUUUUAUUUUUAUUUUUUAAGUUGUGUUCUGAUGAUUUUUAAGAACCUCCCCCCCCCCACCUUGAUUUGAGUCCUGUGUUGACUACAGGUAUACAGCUCAAUUUAAAAAUCCUAAAGCAAAGAAAUUUUAUUUAUAAAAAAAAAUUUUAAAAAGAGUCGAGCAGUUGCAUGCCUGAGGCUGUGAAGUCAGGCCUUGAGCAGUGAGCUGCAGUGCCUUUUUUUGUAUUUACCCAUUGACCACCCCGCCCCAACACAGCUGUUUUAUAUUAAAUAGUAAAGGUUUGAAACUUUCCGAGUAAAGUCUAUUUCACUGCAUAGGUUCUCCCCAUCUCCACCCCACCCCACCCCCGCCCCCACCCGCACCCCAGGCGCCCUGAUUUAAGCAGCAUGUCUGCACUGUCUGAGACACAAUGCUGGUCUACAAUAUCAUGGGGUGAUGUUUUAUUGGUGCUUUUUUGUUCAUAGUGUUUUCUUACCAGAAAACAGUAGGAAGAAACACAAACUAUACAAGACACAACACGACGCUGCUGAUGGUUUGUUUUGUGUGUUCCCCACCCCCACCUGCUUUUUGAGUUUCACUUUCUUAUUACACAAAUCCAGCAAGCAAAGUAGUGGCCGGUGGGUCCCGCCUGCCUGCCUGCCUAGGGCUGCUAUUUGCAUCAAGCGCCCAGCCUGGGUUGAGCUGAAGGUCUCUUUCUGGUACCCAGGCCGGGAGCCAGCCGCAGCUGGGCCCCACCUCCCAUUCUCCCGAUGCGACACUGAGGGAAACCAGAGUUUCUUUUGAGGUGUCGCUGGCUGCCUUUUACAGAGUGGGAGUCUUCUCUGGGCCUUCCUUUCCUCUGUGCCUAGUAGCUAGCUAGCGCUGGUGCAAGGUUUGUAGAUCUGUGCACCCCAGAGCUGGGAUGAGGGCUGAGCGAGGGAGGGGAGGAAAGUGGAUUCUGUUGGGCGCCCUUCCUCUCUAGCCUGAGUGGGGAGAACCCAGGGUGCUCAGGUGUGCCUAUCAUAAACAGAACCUGCAGAAGGAUAAGUUGUACACAGAGCUGUGAUGAUAUCUGUGUUGGCUUUGUUUUUCAGUUUGUUUUUCUUUUCUUUUUUUACAACUCAUCAGAGAUGUUUGCAAAGCGACUUUUUUUUUAAUCCUUUAUCUUGACUUAAAGGUAAAUAUGUAUCCCUCUGGGAGGAGCAAAAAGAAAGCAGGAGUGUUAGUGAUGGCAAACAGGAGACUUCCUCCCUUAUUAAUAUAUAACCCUCAUGUAUUUAUGCCUAACGCAAGCUGACUUUCAAAGAGCUUCCUUUCGUUGCAUGCCCUGUGCAGGCAUCUGUAUUGUACAUGCAUGCCUUUUGUCCUGGUUUCCUGUAUAAAGUUAGUGAACAAAGAAAUAUUUUUGCCUAGUUCAUGUUGCCAAGCAAUGCAUAUUUUUUAAAUUUGUCAUACAUGGAAAGAGCAUGUUUGUUACAUGUGAAAGCUCUACUGAUGCAGAUACACUAAUGUUUGAACAUGCUGUUCUUUGCAAGUGUACAGUUUUCAAAUGUUGUUAUCAGUGACAACACCCUUGUGGUCUAAACUUGCUACAAUGUAUUUAUUAUUCAUUUCCUCCCACAGAAAUAAGAAUCAUGGCUAUAUUUCAUAUGGUUAUAUUGAGAGUGAAGGGAAAUGAUUAAUACAAGGUUUUGU
rnacentral:lncRNA from 1 species